rnacentral:rRNA from 1 species
GGGGGGGGGGGGGGGGGGGGUGGGGGGGGGGGGGGGGAGGGGGGGGCGCGGCUGGGGGGGGGUGCGCGAGUGGCGAACGGGGGAGUAACACGUGAGUAACCUGCCCUUGACUUUGGGAUAACUUCAGGAAACUGGGGCUAAUACCGGAUAGGAGCUCCUGCUGCAUGGUGGGGGUUGGAAAGUUUCGGCGGUUGGGGAUGGACUCGCGGCUUAUCAGCUUGUUGGUGGGGUAGUGGCUUACCAAGGCUUUGACGGGUAGCCGGCCUGAGAGGGUGACCGGCCACAUUGGGACUGAGAUACGGCCCAGACUCCUACGGGAGGCAGCAGUGGGGAAUAUUGCACAAUGGGCGGAAGCCUGAUGCAGCAACGCCGCGUGCGGGAUGACGGCCUUCGGGUUGUAAACCGCUUUCGCCUGUGACGAAGCGUGAGUGACGGUAAUGGGUAAAGAAGCACCGGCUAACUACGUG